rnacentral:rRNA from 1 species
UACGUAGGGCGCAAACGUUAUCCGGAAUUAUUGGGCGUAAAGAGCUCGUAGGCGGUUUGUCGCGUCUGCCGUGAAAGUCCGGGGCUCAACUCCGGAUCUGCGGUGGGUACGGGCAGACUAGAGUUCGGUAGGGGAGACUGGAAUUCCUGGUGUAGCGGUGAAAUGCGCAGAUAUCAGGAGGAACACCGAUGGCGAAGGCAGGUCUCUGGGCCAUAACUGACGCUGAGAAGCGAAAGCAUGGGGAGCGAACAGG